UACGAAGGGUGCAAGCGUUACUCGGAAUUACUGGGCGUAAAGGGCUCGUAGGCGGCCAACUAAGUCAGACGUGAAAUCCCCAGGCUCAACCUGGGAACUGCGUCUGAUACUGGAUGGCUUGAAUUCGGGAGAGGGAUGCAGAAUUCCAGGUGUAGCGGUGAAAUGCGUAGAUAUCUGGAGGAACACCAAUAGCGAAGGCAGCUCGCUGGGACGGUAUUGACGCUAAGGCGCGAAAGCGUGGGGAGCAAACAGG
rnacentral:rRNA from 1 species